GAUGAACGCUGGCGGCGUGCCUAAUACAUGCCAGUCGAGCGAACAGACGGGGAGCUUGCUCCUCUGACGUUAGCGGCGGACGGGUGAGUAACACGUGGAUAACCUACCUAUAAGACUGGGAUAACUUCGGGAAACCGGAGCUAAUACCGGAUAAUAUAUUGAACCGCAUGGUUCAAUAGUGAAAGACGGUUUUGCUGUCACUUAUAGAUGGAUCCGCGCUGCAUUAGCUAGUUGGUAAGGUAACGGCUUACCAAGGCAACGAUGCAUAGCCGACCUGAGAGGGUGAUCGGCCACACUGGAACUGAGACACGGUCCAGACUCCUACGGGAGGCAGCAGUAGGGAAUCUUCCGCAAUGGGCGAAAGCCUGACGGAGCAACGCCGCGUGAGUGAUGAAGGUCUUCGGAUCGUAAAACUCUGUUAUUAGGGAAGAACAAAUGUGUAAGUAACUGUGCACGUCUUGACGGUACCUAAUCAGAAAGCCACGGCUAACUACGUG
rnacentral:rRNA from 1 species